rnacentral:rRNA from 1 species
UUUAAUUGAAGAGUUUGAUCAUGGCUCAGAUUGAACGCUGGCGGCAGGCCUAACACAUGCAAGUCGAGCGGAAACGAAGAGGUGCUUGCACCUCUGGCGUCGAGCGGCGGACGGGUGAGUAAUGCUUGGGAAUAUGCCUUAUGGUGGGGGACAACAGUUGGAAACGACUGCUAAUACCGCAUGAUGUCUACGGACCAAAGUGGGGG